AGUGAACGCUGGCGGUAGGCCUAACACAUGCAAGUCGAACGGCAGCACAGUAAGAGCUUGCUCUUACGGGUGGCGAGUGGCGGACGGGUGAGGAAUACAUCGGAAUCUACUUUUUCGUGGGGGAUAACGUAGGGAAACUUACGCUAAUACCGCAUACGACCUACGGGUGAAAGCAGGGGAUCUUCGGACCUUGCGCGAUUGAAUGAGCCGAUGUCGGAUUAGCUAGUUGGCGGGGUAAAGGCCCACCAAGGCGACGAUCCGUAGCUGGUCUGAGAGGAUGAUCAGCCACACUGGAACUGAGACACGGUCCAGACUCCUACGGGAGGCAGCAGUGGGGAAUAUUGGACAAUGGGCGCAAGCCUGAUCCAGCCAUACCGCGUGGGUGAAGAAGGCCUUCGGGUUGUAAAGCCCUUUUGUUGGGAAAGAAAAGCAGCAGGUUAAUACCCCGCUGUUCUGACGUCACCCAAAGAAUAAGCACCGGCUAACUUCGUG
rnacentral:rRNA from 1 species